AAAAACGCGUUAAAGCCUCCCACUAUUAACCCAACCUAAUAUCAAACACCCUAACCACCCCUUAAUUACUAUUAGACGACUUCAUUAAUUCAAAUGGAAGACAUUAUGCUUGAACUAGUAACAAGAACGUGUAGUUCUCCUAAAUAUAAGUAUAGGCCGCAAUGAACAAACCAACGGCAAUUAACAUCAAUAAACCUGUUACAGUAACCCUCAAGAAAACCCUGUAAACCUAGACGUUAAUCUCACACAAGAAUAUUACAGGAAAGAUUAAAAGGUGGAGAAGGAACUCGGCAAACAAUAACCCCGCCUGUUUACCAAAAACAUCGCCUCUUGUUUAGAUAUAAGAGGUCCAGCCUGCCCAGUGACUCUUCAACGGCCACGGUAUCCUAACCGUGCUAAGGUAGCGCAAUUACUUGUCCUUUAAAUGGGGACCUGAAUGAAUGGCAUCACGAGGGUUGCACUGUCUCCUCCCCCCAAUCAGUGAAACUGACCUCCCUGUGAAAAGGCAGGGAUUAAACUAUUAGACGAGAAGACCCCAUGGAGCUUUAGACUUUAAGCAAGUUAGACAACCAGUCCAAAACCCAUGUCUCUAAAGUCUUCGGCUGGGGCGACCAUGGAGUAAAAAUUAACCUCCACGCCGAACGGGUGACUCCUUAUCCAUGAGCGACAUCUCUAAGAAACAGAAUACUGACAACCACUGAUCCGGACUCCGAUCAACGAACCAAGUUACCCUGGGGAUAACAGCGCUAUCUGCCUCAAGAGUUCAUAUCGACAGGCGGGUUUACGACCUCGAUGUUGGAUCGGGGUGUCCUAGUGGUGCAGCCGCUACACAAGGUUCGUUUGU
rnacentral:rRNA from 1 species